rnacentral:rRNA from 1 species
UACGAAGGGGGCUAGCGUUGUUCGGAAUUACUGGGCGUAAAGCGCGCGCAGGCGGUCUUCCAAGUCAGUGGUGAAAGCCCGGAGCUCAACUCCGGAAAUGCCAUUGAAACUGUGAGACUGGAGUACGAGAGAGGUGAGUGGAAUUCCCAGUGUAGAGGUGAAAUUCGUAGAUAUUGGGAAGAACACCGGUGGCGAAGGCGGCUCACUGGCUCGUAACUGACGCUCAGGCGCGACAGCGUGGGGAUCAAACAGG